GCCCCGAUAGUCCAAUAGGUAGAGACGAUGGAUUCAAAAUCCAUAAAGUGUGGGUUCGAAUCCCACUCGGGGUACAA
rnacentral:tRNA from 1 species